AAGCUUCUCACCGACGCUGUCCAUGAUGGCUUUGAGAUGAACGCGAGACCCCUUCAGAAGGUGAACGGAAGAGAUAUCAACUUUUUCUGCCCUGAUGAUCACCAUGAGCGCUAUUACGCUGCCGCUGAUCAGUAAUUAGGUUCAAACUUCAGGCAGCCUGAGGGAUAGACAUCAUGCGUGUUAAUUUUUCGGAAACCACGACGAAGAACCAUUGAUUCGAUGGAGCAUUGCAAUGAUGGUGACUCUGCACCAAGCGGAGAUGUUCAUAGUCUCGGCACGUUUGUUAAUUCCAUUGUAAAGUCGAAGUCACAGACAUGUGUCCAAUAAAUAAUUUCAAGCGGAGAUGUUCAUAGUCGUUGUUGUUAGUAUCUUCAAUAAAUAAUUUGAUGACA